rnacentral:lncRNA from 1 species
CACACCCGAUCUGCUCGUAAACUGGCCAAAUCCCUCUCCAUGAUUUGUUUAUUGCUCUAGUUAAUUGUCGUCAAGAUCAUGUUAGCUUGUUCUUGGCUUCGAUUCUGUGAGAUUUUUUUGUUUUUUUGCAAUCUGAUUACACAGCAGAUCUUGUUAGCUCUGUAACUUGAUACCUUUACAUGCAUGAAACAAACAGAAAAGCAAAUCCUCCUAUUACGCUGUGAUCCCACCGCUACCUGAUUCCAUUACCAGUCCCGUUACCUUUGGUUGUACCAAACACAUCCUAACAAUAAUCGCCCGAGCUAUGCUCUCCUUGUUGGACAGACGGCUAUUUGUAGUGGUCAUGGUUGGUUGUUCGUCCGUGCAUCGUCUUGAUCUGUUGCCGCAAUCCCUUCCGGACUCCAUGGAUGUUGGUGUAAUUUUUGUGGGUCGGGCUCUCCUGCAGGGUUCCCAGCACGCAUUAUGGUGCAGGGCCAACGGGUGGCCGACACCUGUCCUGGUAGGACCCCACCACUUAAACAACCCAGCGUAUCUCUCUAAUUGCAGUUAGCUCUAAAAAAUCAGCAAAACGACAGGUUUAUCUCCCGCCUAACACCAGAUUGCCGCCAAAAUCUCUUCGUGACUUCAUCCAUCCUUUCUCAUACCAAUCUAUUCCAUUGUUGUUGCCCCCGGAUCAAAGGAGAAUAGAUCAAGAUUGAUAGGAAAUUGUCCUCUCUGUGGAUCAACAUCUACGGUGUUCUUCAGCAUGGACGGAGCUCCUGCCACUUCAUCGUCCGUAGGUAUGUUCUUGCGCCUAUAAUGUACAAAUUGUCAACACACUUGAUCAUACGAAGCUGAUAAGAUUGAAAGAAACAAAUAAACAAAGAGUUGAAUGUAUGACAUGCAAAUUACUCCCAGUACUUCAUCUUUCGUAGCCCUGUUUCUUUGAAACACAUGCAAAUUAAUCCUUCGAAUUGCAUUAUAAUUCUGUUAGUGAUGAUUACUCCUACGAUGUUGCGUAAAUUUUACUGCCUGAGAUUUCUCCUUUGACAUAUUCUCUUUUUGCUGACUCUAAUGAUAUAGAUUACUGUAUCAAAGAAAAAGAUCAAUAUGUUUCUAACGCUCCCGUGAAUACCAUGUGUCGUUUUCCAAAAAGCAUUGUUCUAUCUAUAAGGGCUUUUCAGGUUUCACUAAAACUAGGACUGAAUAUCGUGUUAUCUUUUACUCCAUGCGUCGUCCGUGAACUAAUUAGUAUAUGAUAUUUUUUAUGUUGUGUAGAUCAUGACACCACAGAUGUGGGAGAGGCAGGUCAAAACACUGAUCACGAUUACAGCAAAAGGUUAAAACCAGAGAUAGGAAUGGAAUUUGAGAAUGAUGAUAUAGCAUAUGAGUUUUAUAAUGCAUAUGCAGGACAUGUUGGUUUCAGUGUCCGGAAAUUUUGGCAUGAUAAAUCCUCAACGAAUGUUAUUCGAACAAAGAAAUUUAUAUGCUCAAAGGCAGGUUUCAAGGACAAGAGCAAGGAACAAUGCCAGCGGAAGCGAGCAGAUACAAGAGUUGGGUGUAUGGCAGAGAUGACCAUCAAAAUAAGUGGUAAUGGAAAGUAUGUUGUAAGCAGCUUUGAGGAUGCUCACAAUCAUGAACUCGUAACUCCAAGCAAAGCCCAUCUACUGCGAUCCCAAAGAAGAAUUAAAGAAGCUCAGAAGGCCCAGAUUGACAUAUUGAAUGAUUCAGGUAUUAGACCAAAAUCUGGUCAUGAAGUGAUGAGUAGACAAGCAGGGGGUAGGCGAUGUCUUAGCUUUGGUCAAAAGGAUUAUAAAAAUUAUCUCCGAUCAAAGCGGAUGCAGUCAAUCCAAGAAGGAGACACAGGUGCCAUUCUUCAAUACCUACAGGACAAGCAAAUGGAAAAUCCUUCAUCUUUAUGCUAUACAAGUAGAGGAAGAUGAGAUGAUAACCAAUAUAUUCUGGGCAGAUGCAAGAUCAAUAUUAGAUUAUCACUACUUUGGUGACGUGGUAUGCUUUGACACAACCUUUAAGACAAAUAGUUAUGGCAGACCAUUUGCCCCUUUUGUUGGUGUCAACCAUCAUAAACAAACAGUGGUUUUUGGAGCUGCAUUAUUGUAUGAUGAAACAUCUGAGACGUUUGAAUGGUUGUUUGAAACAUUCAAAAGGGCCAUGUCAGGAAAAGAACCAAAGACAAUAUUGACCGAUCAGUGUGCUGCCAUUAUUAGUGCCAUUGGCAAGGUUUUUACUAACUCAACACAUCGUCUAUGUGUGUGGCACAUGUAUCAGAACGCUGCAAAACAUUUGAGUCAUGUUUUCCAAGGUUCCAAGACAUUUAAGAAAGAUUUUGGCAAGUGUGUUUAUGGUUUUGAAGAAGUUGAUGAAUUCCUAACAGGUUGGAAUGAUAUGCUAGUGAAAUAUAAUUUGGAAGAUAAUGACUGGCUACAUAGAUUAUUCCAGAACAAAGAGAAGUGGGCUUUGGUUUAUGGUCGACAAACCUUUUGUGCAGAUAUGAUAUCCACACAAAGAAGCGAGAGUAUCAAUGCACUAUUGAAACGAUACCUGCAUGUUCGCCUUGAUUUAUUAGAUUUCUUCAAGCACUAUGAGAGGGCUGUGGAUGAUAGAAGGUAUGCUGAAGUGGAAAGUGAUUUCUAUGCGAGUCAAACAUCACCAAAGGUGCCUUAUGUGCCGAUGCUUACACAAACAUCGAAAGUAUAUACACCUGCUAUGUUUGAGACAUUUAAAGGAGAAUUUGACAUGGUAAUGGGAUAUUGUGUGUACGAGAGUGGUCGUACUAGCUCUAUUUCUGAAUUCAAGGUUACCCAUUCAGCUAGCCAAAAUAGUCAUACUGUGAAAUUUGAUCCCAAUGGAUCAAAAGUUUCAUGCUCAUGCAAAAAGUUUGAAUUUGUUGGAGUAUUGUGUCGUCAUGCAUUAAAGGUGUUGGACCACAACAAUAUAAAGGAGUUGGCACCAGAAUAUAUCUUGAAAAGAUGGACAAGGCGAGCAAAAUCAGGGCCCUCACAGGCAAUUCAAAAGUAUAGUGAUGAUGAAGAUAUAAGAGUUAUGCUAGCUAGGCAGUAUGGAUCAUUAUGUCGCACUUACAAUAACAUUUUGAGCAAAGCAGCAGCAAACAAAGAAGCAUAUGCACUACUGCAGACUAUGUCAAUUGAACUAAUGGAAAAGGUGGACCAAAUUUUACAUGGAAAUCAAUCAAAAGAUAUAUCACCGAAUCAUGAACAAGCAGAGAAGCAACCAGUUGAAUGCAACAUCGAGAAUGUAGUCACAGAGAAGCAACCAGUUGAAUGCAACCUUGAGAAUGUAGUCACAGUACAGGGAAUAAAGAGAAAAGAACAAGGAAAUAGCAACAAGAGGAUUAAAUCUGGACUGGAGCUGAAUAAUAAGAAUAAACGUAAUAAGAAAGGUAUGGUAUUCCACAAGAAAUAGCUACAUAAAUAUCUGCUCAUGUUAUUGAAAUAGAUCUAACAUUUUUUUGCAAAUAGGUCAAGGAACAACAUGCAAGAAUAAGAGUGGUGAUUGUGCUUCUGCAUCAUCUAGACCAAAUCCUAGCUUCAACAUAUCAAACGAGAACUAUAAUUUGCAAGUAGUACAGCAUGCUAUGCCUCCACUACCGAAUGCUGCCAAUUACAAUUUGCAAGUAUUGCAGCAUGCUAUGCCUCCACUACCAAAUGUUGCGAACUAUAAUCCGCAAGUAUUUCCGCCCGCUAUGCCUUCGGUACCACAAGUUGUUUUCCCAUUACCACAUGCACAUAAUUAUAAUUUGCAUGUACUGCCGGGUACUAUGACAUCAGUACCAGGACCUGAGAACUAUAAUUUGCAAGUAUUACAUCAUGGCUUGCCUGCUCCGCUAUCGCAGACAGACACUACUAGUUUUCAACAGUUACUUGGCUUGCGACCACAACCACCAUAUUUCUAUCAUAGCAUUCAACCGAGUCAGGUAUAUUUAUUCAGUUAAUAGUUAAAAUUAAGACAAGCAUGCACGGGUCAUUUACUUUUUGAUUAACACUACAUGUUGACUUCUGUGGUGUCAUCGGACUUGGGAUGGCCAACAUCUCAUAAUCACCAGCCGCCAACUAGCACUCAACCAAGUCAGGUAGAAUUUUAUUAGUUAAUCGCUAGAAAUUAAAAUGAACAUGCACAUAUCAUUCCCUUGUAUUGACUUUUGAAUCAACAUUGUAUCUAGAGUUCCCAAAUGUUAUCAGACUCAGGAUGGCCAACAUCUCAAAAAUGACCAGCUGCCAAUUCAGGUAUUGUUCACUUACAAGUCAUAUUCCCAAUUGAAGUUUAUAUCUCAUAAGAAAUCAUUGCUUUGUUCUUCCAGGUCUUGGGUAGCCAAUCAAGUCACAUACAAGAUAAACACUUUUAAAUAGCUCUAUGUAAACUUUGUAUCUCAGGAUUGCUCUACAAGACAGUUCUCUUGAGAUGUAAUAAUUUAUCUUACCAUUCCUUUUAAUGUUAGAUGCACAACGGUUUAUGCUCAAAUAAAAAUAUAUACAUGAAUAUGAAUUAGUUGUUGGUUAUUCCUUAUGAUAUGUUAGACAUGUAACUGAGGUUUAGUUUUCCAGUUAAAUGUGGUCUUAUAGGCACUAAAUUCAUUAAAAGGUGCUUUCACCAAUUUGUGAUUUCCCCUGUACUGUAUGACUGAAAAGCAGAGGAGAGUAGAUAGCUUGCAUACUUCAGAGUUCAGUACAUAGCUAGCUACUAGUACAGAGCUAGUACAUUGCUACUAGUAAUAGCUUGCGUACGUAUAUAGCUGAGAGGUAAUUACGUACUAGCACAAAGGUAGAUGAAGCAGCGAAUCAUCUCUCACCUUUGCUUGUUGAGUUUGCAUCGAGUUCGCAUCUUCCACUGUGACGGCGCGACCUCCCGCGGAAUCUCAGCCACCGGCUGCACGCGCUGCAGUUCCACCGUGCCACCACCUCACAGGGAGCGGGUCAGCCACAACCUUGGGCUGGCCUUGGGUGUGCCGGAGGCGAGCGACACUAGCCGCGACGGCCCCGUUUUGCUGCCGGCCAAGUCCACGGCCGGGCGUGGCGCAGCGCGCCUUAGGCGAGCAGAGCUAGCCGCGACGGAUCCCAUCUUGCCUCCAGCCAAGACAACGGCUCCAGGCCGCGCAGCAUGCCGGAGGUGAGCGACGGCGAUUCCUGUCUUACUGCCUUCGAACCCCGUGGCUCCUGGCGGCGAAUCGCGCCGGAGACGGGUGGCGCUAGCCGUGACAGCUCCGGGCGGCGAAGCGCAUCAGAGACGGACGGCGCUAUACAGCUCCUGUCUUGCCGCCGGCGACGGACCUGAACGGUGGAUUUCUCGGUCGGAAUCCUCCCUCACAGUGGAAUGAGUGGCUGUGGAAGAGGGAGUGGCAGCAGCGGUACGCCGGGAUAAGGCAAAGAAAAACUGGUUUCAGUAAAUUAAGAAAAGAAAAACGUUUUAUUAAGUGGUGGGGUCCUAUCAGGACAGGUGUCGGCCACCCGUUGGCCCUGCACGAUAAUGCGUGCUGGGAACCCUGCAGGAG